CUGAACUCGUUCUUCGCCCAGCUAUGUCUGUCUGACCCAGCUGUACUCUCUGGACAUAAAAAGCAGAAAGUGCGACUGGAUCGGAUCGGUAUGGUUGGGAUGAUCACGGCAUGG